AGAGUUUGAUCCUGGCUCAGGCUGAACGCUGUGCGGCGUGCCUAAUACAUGCAAGUCGAACGAAGCACUUCGGUGCUUAGUGGCGAACGGGUGAGUAACACGUAGGUAACCUGCCCAUAAGACUGGGAUAACUAUUGGAAACGAUAGCUAAUACCGGAUAGGAUAUCGGAAGGCAUCUUCGGAUAUUUAAAGUUGGGAUACACUUAUGGAUGGACCUGCGGAGCAUUAGUUAGUUGGUGAGGUAACGGCCCACCAAGACGAUGAUGCAUAGCCGACCUGAGAGGGUAAACGGCCACACUGGGACUGAGACACGGCCCAGACUCCUACGGGAGGCAGCAGUAGGGAAUUUUCGGCAAUGGGGGAAACCCUGACCGAGCAACGCCGCGUGAGUGAAGACGGUCUUCGGAUUGUAAAGCUCUGUUGUAAGGGAAGAACGAUAUAGAUAGUAUCUGUAAGUGACGGUACCUUACCAGAAAGUCACGACUAACUACGUGCCAGCAGCCGCGGUAAUACGUAGGUGACAAGCGUUAUCCGGAAUUAUUGGGCGUAAAGGGUGCGCAGGCGGCGAUUUAAGUCUAAGGUAAAAGGUUGGAGCUCAACUCCAUUAGGCCUUAGAAACUGGGUUGCUAGAGUGCAGGAGAGGGUAGUGGAAUUCCAUGUGUAGCGGUAAAAUGCGUAGAUAUAUGAAGGAACACCGGUGGCGAAGGCGGCUACAUGGCCUGUAACUGACGGUGAGGCACGAAAGCGUGGGGAGCAAAUAGGAUUAGAUACCCUAGUAGUCCACGCCGUAAACGAUGAGCACUAACUGUUGGAGAAAUUCAGUGCUGCAGUUAACGCAAUAAGUGCUCCGCCUGGGGAGUAUGCACGCAAGUGUGAAACUCAAAGGAAUUGACGGGGACCCGCACAAGCGGUGGAGUAUGUGGUCUAAUUCGACGCGACGCGAAGAACCUUACCAGGCCUUGACAUACCUUGCAAGACUCUAGAGAUAGAGGGAUAGAUAUGGAGGAUACAGGUGGUGCAUGGUUGUCGUCAGCUCGUGUCGUGAGAUGUUGGCCUAAGUCCCGCAACGAGCGCAACCCCUGUCUUUAGUUACCAUCAUCAAGUUGGGGACUCUAAAGAGACUGCUCGUUGACAAACGCGGAGGAAGGUGGGGAUGACGUCAAAUCAUCAUGCCCCUUAUGGCAUGGGAUACACACGUACUACAAUGGCAAGUACAGAGGGAAGCGAAAUGGUGACAUGGAGCUAAACUCCAAAAGCUAGUCCCAGUUCGGAUUCUAGUCAGCAACUCGAAUACAUGGAGUUGGAAUCGAUAGUAAUCGCGGAUCAGCAUGCCGCGGAGAAUACGUUCAUCGGGUCCUGUACACACCGCCCGUC
rnacentral:rRNA from 1 species